UACGUAGGGUGCAAGCGUUAUCCGGAAUUAUUGGGCGUAAAGAGCUCGUAGGCGGUUUGUCGCGUCUGCUGUGAAAACUGGAGGCUCAACCUCCAGCCUGCAGUGGGUACGGGCAGACUAGAGUGCGGUAGGGGAGAUUGGAAUUCCUGGUGUAGCGGUGGAAUGCGCAGAUAUCAGGAGGAACACCGAUGGCGAAGGCAGAUCUCUGGGCCGUAACUGCCGCUGAGGAGCGAAAGCAUGGGGAGCGAACAGG
rnacentral:rRNA from 1 species